CCCUUAGAUGUUCUGGGCCGCACGCGCGCUACACUGAUGCAUUCAACGAGUGUACCUUGGCCGAGAGGCCUGGGCAAUCUUUUGAACGUGCAUCGUGAUAGGGAUAGAUUAUUGCAAUUAUUAAUCUUGAACGAGGAAUUCCUAGUAAACGCAGUUCAUCAAACUGCAUUGAUUACGUCCCUGCCCUUUGUACACACCGCCCGUCGCUCCUACCGAUUGAAUGUGUUGGUGAGGAGCUCGGAUUGGCAGCAGUUGGUGGUUCGCCACCGGCUAUUGCUGAGAAGUCCUCCAAACCGCCCCAUUUAGAGGAAGGAGAAGUCGUAAC
rnacentral:rRNA from 1 species